AUGGCUCAUUAAAUCAGUUAUCGUUUAUUUGAUAGUACCUUACUACUUGGAUAACCGUGGUAAUUCUAGAGCUAAUACAUGCUAAAAACCCUGACUUCGGAAAGGGUGUAUUUAUUAGAUAAAAAACCAAUGCCCUCCGGGGCUCUUUGGUGAUUCAUGAUAACUUAACGGAUCGCAUGGCCUUGCGCCGGCGACGGUUCAUUCAAAUUUCUGCCCUAUCAACUUUCGAUGGUAAGGUAUUGGCUUACCAUGGUUUCAACGGGUAACGGGGAAUUAGGGUUCGAUUCCGGAGAGGGAGCCUGAGAAACGGCUACCACAUCCAAGGAAGGCAGCAGGCGCGCAAAUUACCCAAUCCCGACACGGGGAGGUAGUGACAAUAAAUACUGAUACAGGGCUCUUUUGGGUCUUGUAAUCGGAAUGAGUACAAUUUAAACCUCUUAACGAGGAACAAUUGGAGGGCAAGUCUGGUGCCAGCAGCCGCGGUAAUUCCAGCUCCAAUAGCGUAUAUUAAAGUUGUUGCAGUUAAAAAGCUCGUAGUUGAAUCUUGGGCCUGGCUGGCCGGUCCGCCUCACCGCGUGUACUGGUCUGGCCGGGCCUUUCCUUCUGGAGAACCUCAUGCCCUUCAUUGGGUGUGUUGGGGAACCAGGACUUUUACUUUGAAAAAAUUAGAGUGUUCAAAGCAGGCCUUUGCUCGAAUACGUUAGCAUGGAAUAAUAGAAUAGGACGUGCGGUCCUAUUUUGUUGGUUUCUAGGACCGCCGUAAUGAUUAAUAGGGAUAGUCGGGGGCAUCAGUAUUCAAUUGUCAGAGGUGAAAUUCUUGGAUUUAUUGAAGACUAACUACUGCGAAAGCAUUUGCCAAGGAUGUUUUCAUUAAUCAGUGAACGAAAGUUAGGGGAUCGAAGACGAUCAGAUACCGUCGUAGUCUUAACCGUAAACUAUGCCGACUAGGGAUC
rnacentral:rRNA from 1 species